AAGAGUAUUAGAGGAAUUUUCUUUAAAAAUACAUUAAUAAAUAUUCCUAUGGGAGGUACUGACUUAAUAAAAAAUCCCCCCUUAAGUAAAUAAUUACUAGUACCUCUUUGUUAGAUUUCAAUCCAUUCUAAUUCUAAUUGAAACAAUUUACUGAAAUCUGAAUUAGCAAUAAUUUUCAUGAGAUGAAUCACUACAAUCAAUGAAAUAUUACUUCAGCUGUUUUCUUUGGUUACCAAAAUAUACCCAAUAUUCAAUUCAACAUCCAAAGGAAUGGAAUUGUUAUAUUAUAAUGUUGCAUACUGUUUAAUAAAAUCUCCUUGUAAACUAUCUGCUAAUUUCAAAGGGAAAAGAAAAUUAGGGUCUUUUCAUCAGUUGCUUUGAAGCAAAGCACUCUCAAAAUCUUGAAGACACAACAUUUGAGCAGAAAAUAAUACUUAGCCAGAGCCUUCAAUCUGCCAUAUAAAAAAAACAGAUAAGAGUUUAAUCAGUACACAAUACUUUCAUGCAAACCAAAGCUAUCACUUCCAACACACAGUUUUAUUUCAACUGAAUCUUUCGCAAUCAAAUCUGUCUCAACUUUUUAGCAGAAUGUAAAAUGCAGGAAAUGUGUAUGUUGAGAUUGAUUAUCUUG
rnacentral:lncRNA from 1 species